AGAGUUUGAUUAUGGCUCAGGAUGAACGCUAGCUACAGGCUUAACACAUGCGAGUCGAGGGGCAGCAUUGGAGUAGCAAUACUCAGAUGGCGACCGGCGCACGGGUGAGUAACACGUAUCCAACCUGCCGCUUACUCGGGGAUAGCCUUUCGAAAGAAAGAUUAAUACCCGAUGGUAUAAAGAGUUCGCAUGUUCUCUUUAUUAAAGAAUUUCGGUAAGCGAUGGGGAUGCGUUCCAUUAGAUAGUUGGCGGGGUAACGGCCCACCAAGUCUACGAUGGAUAGGGGUUCUGAGAGGAAGGUCCCCCACAUUGGAACUGAGACACGGUCCAAACUCCUACGGGAGGCAGCAGUGAGGAAUAUUGGUCAAUGGACGAGAGUCUGAACCAGCCAAAGUAGCGUGAAGGAUGACUGCCCUAUGGGUUGUAAACUUCUUUUAUAAGGGAAUAAAGUGAGGGACGUGUCCCUUUUUGUAUGUACCUUAUGAAUAAGGAUCGGCUAACUCCGUGCCAGCCGCGGC
rnacentral:rRNA from 1 species